GCACCAAUCUAUCUGUUUGUUUUUUGAGACAGGGUCUCACUAUGUAGCUCUGGCUGUCCUUGAACUUGGAGUGAUCCUCCUGCCUCAGCCUCCCGAGUGCUGGGAUUACAGGUGUGCACACCACACCCAGAUCUCAGCUUGAAAGUCUCUUGUUGGUUGCAACUGUCUUGCUUGAGAGCUCAUCUUGUGAGUUUUACAGCUUCUGCCUUCAGGAC
rnacentral:lncRNA from 1 species